GAACUCCUCCUCUUCUUCCUCCGCUCGUCCUCCCAAACCCGCGCCGCGAAUCUGCUGCCGCCGCUGCGUCCGUCUCGGUUUUGCGCCGCCGGUGAAGAUGUUGUCGAGGAUCUCCCGCCUCGGCGUCCACGCCCUGAGCCGGGCGAGGCUAGGUCAAAAGUCAGUAAAUUCAAGGAAUCAGGAAGAACCAAUUAGAGCUUGUAUGAACUAUGUGGGUAAUCAUUCUCUAUGUUCCGCCACGGGAGCUAAAGUCAGUGACAGGAGCGAACAGCCAAAAGCUAAGAUAUCUGUGACAUUUGUUGAUAAGGAUGGCGAUGAAACGGUUAUCAAUGUUCCUAUUGGGAUGUCAAUGCUGGAAGCUGCUCAUGAGAAUGACAUAGAACUUGAAGGAGCAUGUGAGGGCUCUCUUGCAUGUUCUACCUGUCAUGUGAUUGUAACGACUACUAUAACAAAUUGGAAGAUCCUGAAGAUGAGGAAAACGAUAUGCUGGACCUUGCUUUUGGGCUUACAGAAACAUCUCGCCUUGGCUGCCAAGUAAUUGCAAGCCCUGAACUUGAUGGCAUAAGACUAGCACUGCCAGCAGCUACCAGAAAUUUUGCUGUUGAUGGGCAUGUCCCAAAACCACACUAACUAAGCACUGGAUGCUGAAACGUUGUUUUUGCCCCCCGCUGCAUUUGAGAACGAACGAGAGUGACCAAUGAAUCUCACUGGUUAAAGGUCAUCGGUUGAAGAAUUGCUACGUAAUAGGCGGUUGGUAAACCUUCAAUUCGUGGUACUCCUUCCGUCCGGGUGUAUAAGUCAUUCGCGUAGUUCUAGGUCAUCGAUUUGAGGAAUUAAAUAUGUGUUAUAUGUCAUGAAAAGUAUACCACUAGAUUUCCACACGGAUGUAGUUUUUAAAUAUAUAUUUUUUGUCACAUAUAAUACAUAUUUAGAUAGUUAAAUUAUCGACCUAGAACUACGCGAAUGACUUAUACACCGGGACGAA